ACAAAAGCAACACCUUCAAAGUCUCUCUCAGUGACUAGAAGCAGCCAGACACUCAAACUGCCAGUCCUGAAUUACGGCCUCUGAAUGGUGAGGGCUUCACAUUUCACUGAUCAGGGCACAGCCCAAUCAGAAGACAAACCCCUGCACUGCCAGGGACCAGCAAAUCCGCUUUCUUCCAGUGUGCACAUGACUGAAUGUGCUUCUGUCCAUCAUCUGGGUCAUAUAUAGUUCAAUGCGAGCUGAGCAGACAGGGCUGCAAGGAAAUCUGGCGCGGUUCAAUACCUCGUCUAGCCUGGGUUCCAGUAUCCAAUUUUUUUUUUUUUUUUUUUUUUUAAAUGACAAACUCAUUUCUCUACCGGGACAGGAUGCUGUGCUGGCUGGAAGUUCCAUUUCUACAGCAAGAAUCCUAUCUGGAAACACAGAAGUUGUCCUCUAAGCCACAGCAGCUCGAACUUUUUUGAUUGUUGUUGCUGCUUUCUCCCAUCACCCCCACCCCCUUUUGACAAAGAUCCAACUGUAAAAAGUCUUACGUAACAGUUCAGGACUACUUCGGUUCUUUUACUGGUUUAUCAAGAGGACUAUGAGAACAUUUACAUCUCCAAGAUAGGACAAUGUGAGUUUCACAACAUUUUGUAGUACCUCUGGAAAAGGAAAGAAAGGAGGUAAGUGAAACAACAAUGGAUGGCAUGGUGAGUUUUGACAAACUCAAAAUCUAUCUAAAUCGAGAAUUAAACAGUGGACCGAUUUAUUAAAUGCACAGUAGCUUCUGUAAACUGGCUAAUUCAACCUUUAGUUUUUUAACCCUUAGACUUUAUCUUUGCAUUGAGUACAUAAACCUCUUGGCCAAACUAAUUUAAAAAACCCAAUGUGUGCCUUUCUUGAAGAUAAGAACUAAACUUAAGGAUUUAAAGCAAACUGAAGAAAUGAAGAUAAAAUGAAGGCCUUUACUGUCAUGAAAACCAUCUCAAACACAAUAAGAAAAACCCCUAAUGUCACUUUAGAAAUCUACCUUUCACUCUUCUCUAGUUUUUCAAGUCUAUGAAAAGCCUUCUUUUUUAGAAUGCCAUAAAUUUAAGCUACAGUAUUUUGUACACAUCUAAUGGUUUGGGGUAGCAGAGGUCAGCAUAUUUUUAAAGUCUGAUUAUUUAUCAAAAUGUAAUAAGGCAUUGACUUCUCUUCGUAUUAUCAGGCCAAGGGGAAGACCAUUUGAAAUAAACCUACUAAAGAGUUUUUAAAAUACUACACAGUAACAGCUGCUUGAUUUUUUGUUGUCAUUUGUACACAAUUUACUGUUACAACACUGAAGACUCAACAAAGCUGGAUAACUGAAGUGUUUUGACAGAGGGCAACAUAAUUAAACUAAUGUAGAAUGUAAACAGUUUAUAUACAAACCAAAUUCUCACUGGUUGAUUUUUUUUUUUAAUAUGUAUCAUUUGAGUGUUUAAAAAUGAAUUUGCGAACAGUCAACCCUUAAUAUUUAAACUUAAAGCAAAGGGUAAUAAGUAUCCCUGAUUAAAGAUUAUCCUCAAUUCAGCCAGCAGUUCUGUAAGCCCUUUUUCUCUGGAGCACUCCUGGAUCUCUAUUUAUGAACUCUAUGUUCUGAAAAGUUCCAUGUAAUUAAUUAAUUUUCCAGAUUUUUCUUUCUUUUUUUUGGGGGGGGGUCUUUUUAGGCCCACACCAUGGCACAUGGAAGUUCCCAGGCUGGGGGUUGAAUCAGAACUGCAGCUGCCAACCUAUGCCACAGCCAUAGCCACAGCCACGCCAGAUCUAAGCCACAUCUGUGACCUAUGACCACAGCUUGUAGCAACAUUGGAUCCUUAAUCCACUGAUUGAGACCAGGGAUCAAACCCACAUCCUCAUGGAUACUAAUCGGGUUCUUAACCCACUGAGUCACAUCAGGAACUCCUUUCCUUUUUUUUGUUUUUUCGGUUUUUUUUGUUUGUUUUUUGGUUUCGGGGUUUUUUGUUUUUUUUUGGCUGCACCUGUGGCAUAUGGAAGUUCCUGUGCCAUGGGCUGAAUCUGAGCCACAGCUGUGAUCUACACCACAGCUGCAGCAACGUGGGAUGCUUAAACCACUGUACCAGGCCAGGGAUCAAAUCCACACCUCAGCAGUGAUCCAAGCUGCUACACAGACACCAGAUUCUUAACCCACUGCACUGCAGCAGGUUCUCCAUUUUCUAGAUUUCUCACCAAGGAUAUUAAAAAAA